AAAAGUUUUGGGUUUCGAAUUGAUUUGGGGAUCUUUUCGUGUGUAGUUAGGGUUUAUAGAACCGAGUUACAAUCGACUGAAACGAUUUGGGGAGCUUGUGGUUUCUUCUUAAUCUUUGGUAACUCGAUCGUUUGUUCUCGUUGAUGUUUUGUUCUCAUUUGUUCUCGUUUUGUUCUUGUUUGUUCAGGUUAACCAAGCAUGGGACAAGAUUAUUCGUACAGCCAGCCAUCUUCAUCUGACGAGUUCGAC
rnacentral:lncRNA from 1 species